ACAGGUGGUGCAUGGUUGUCGUCAGCUCGUGUCGUGAGAUGUUGGGUUAAGUCCCGCAACGAGCGCAACCCUUGAUCUUAGUUGCCAUCAUUAAGUUGGGCACUCUAAGGUGACUGCCGGUGACAAACCGGAGGAAGGUGGGGAUGACGUCAAAUCAUCAUGCCCCUUAUGACCUGGGCUACACACGUGCUACAAUGGACGGUACAAAGAGCUGCAAGACCGCGAGGUGGAGCUAAUCUCAUAAAACCGUUCUCAGUUCGGAUUGUAGGCUGCAACUCGCCUACAUGAAGCUGGAAUCGCUAGUAAUCGCGGAUCAGCAUGCCGCGGUGAAUACGUUCCCGGGCCUUGUACACACCGCCCGUCACACCACGAGAGUUUGUAACACCCGAAGUCGGUGGGGUAACCUUUUUGGAGCCAGCCGCCUAAGGUGGGACAGAUGAUUGGGGUGAAGUCGUAACAAGGUAGCCGUAUCGGAAGGUGCGGCUGGAUCACCUCCUUUCUAUGGA
rnacentral:rRNA from 2 species